rnacentral:rRNA from 1 species
AUUGAACGCUGGCGGCAUGCCUUACACAUGCAAGUCGAACGGCAGCACGGGAGCAAUCCUGGUGGCGAGUGGCGAACGGGUGAGUAAAGUAUCGGAACGUGCCCAGUCGUGGGGGAUCACGUAGCGAAAGUUACGCUAAUACCGCAUACGAUCUAUGGAUGAAAGCGGGGGAUCACAAGACCUCGCGCGAUUGGAGCGGCCGAUAUCAGAUUAGGUAGUUGGUGGGGUAAAGGCUCACCAAGCCGACGAUCUGUAGCUGGUCUGAGAGGACGACCAGCCACACUGGGACUGAGACACGGCCCAGACUCCUACGGGAGGCAGCAGUGGGGAAUUUUGGACAAUGGGCGAAAGCCUGAUCCAGCCAUGCCGCGUGCAGGAUGAAGGCCUUCGGGUUGUAAACUGCUUUUGUACGGAACGAAAAGGUUUGGCCUAAUAAGCUGAGCUCAUGACGGUACCGUAAGAAUAAGCACCGGCUAACUACGUGCCAGCCGCCGCGGUAA